GAUGAACGCUGGCGGCGUGUCUAAUACAUGCAAGUCGAGCGAAUGGAUUAAGAGCUUGCUCUUAUGAAGUUAGCGGCGGAUGGGUGAGUAACACGUGGGUAACCUGCCCAUAAGACUGGGAUAACUCCGGGAAACCGGGGCUAAUACCGGAUAACAUUUUGAACCGCAUGGUUCGAAAUUGAAAGGCGGCUUCGGCUGUCACUUAUGGAUGGACCCGCGUCGCAUUAGCUAGUUGGUGAGGUAACGGCUCACCAAGGCAACGAUGCGUAGCCGACCUGAGAGGGUGAACGGCCACACUGGGAGUGAGACACGGCCCAGACUCCUACGGGAGGCAGCAGUAGGGAAUCUUCCGCAAUGGACGAAAGUCUGACGGGGCAACGCCGCGUGAGUGAUGAAGGCUUUCGGGUCGUAAAACUCUGUUGUUAGGGAAGAACAAGUGCUAGUUGAAUAAGCUGGCACCUUGACGGUACCUAACCAGAAAGCCACGGCUAACUACGUGCCAGCCGCCGCGGUAA
rnacentral:rRNA from 1 species